GACGAACGCUGGCGGCGUGCUUAACACAUGCAAGUCGAACGAAGAGCGAUGGAAGCUUGCUUCUAUCAAUCUUAGUGGCGACCGGGUGAGUAACGCGUAAUCAACCUGCCCUUCAGAGGGGGACAACAGUUGGAAACGACUGCUAAUACCGCAUACGAUCUAACCUCGGCAUCGAGGAUGGAUGAAAGGUGGCCUCUAUUUAUAAGCUAUCACUGAAGGAGGGGAUUGCGUCUGAUUAGCUAGUUGGAGGGGUAACGGCCCACCAAGGCGAUGAUCAGUAGCCGGUCUGAGAGGAUGAACGGCCACAUUGGGACUGAGACACGGCCCAGACUCCUACGGGAGGCAGCAGUGGGGAAUCUUCCGCAAUGGACGAAAGUCUGACGGAGCAACGCCGCGUGAGUGAUGACGGCCUUCGGGUUGUAAAGCUCUGUUAAUCGGGACGAAAGGCCUUCUUGCGAAUAGUUAGAAGGAUUGACGGUACCGGAAUAGAAAGCCACGGCUAACUACGUG
rnacentral:rRNA from 1 species